rnacentral:rRNA from 1 species
UACGGAGGGUGCGAGCGUUGUCCGGAAUCACUGGGCGUAAAGGGCGCGUAGGUGGCGCGAGGAGUCUGUGGUGAAAGCCCGAGGCUCAACUUCGGGUCGGCCGCGGAUACUCUCGUGCUGGAGGGUGGUAGAGGCCAAUGGAAUUCCUGGUGUAGCGGUGAAAUGCGCAGAUAUCAGGAGGAACACCGGUGGCGAAGGCGGGUCUCUGGGCCGAUACUGACGCUGAGGAGCGAAAGCGUGGGGAGCUAACAGG